AAUUUAUUUCAGCCUUUUAUUCUAUGUCUUUAGCAAAAAAUAUGGGAUCCCCAAGGUGUCACUUCCUCUUAACUAUGGAGAGCACAGAGCAGUAAUUUGUAACCUCUCAGUGCUUCAUUAUCAGCUGUGCCAGUCUGUAAAGCCACCACUUCUCCAGCAUAUCUGAUGGGCUCAUCAGGUGUGCACAGAGCAAUUUUCACUUUCAAAUAACCAGUGCAAGUACAUUUAUUUCAGGGGACUGCGAACGCCCUAAGAGCCGCUUUCAGUUUGCUCAGGCCUGCAAUCCUACUGUAAGGACUGCCCUCUCGCCAUCCUUUCCAUAGGAGCUGUCACUACCAGGAGAAACUGAGUGUUUUGAAACGUGCUACUGUUCCCGGAAGACCAGUUUCAUCCGAGCAGACUGGUCCUUUCAGGUUUGUUGGGAUUGGCUACAUGGAUGUAUAAAGGUUUCAGAAGCCGGAAAACAGGAGUUACUGCUGAACCUGAAAGAUAAAGCUGCACAUUUUAGGACAACUGUGUUCAUAUAAGACAUGUAUCAUUUUUGCUUAAAAUCUUUGAACAGUAAGAAGACUGUUUGUAUUGUACCAGACUAAGAGCAGCUGUACCCCUAUGGAUUCAUUGUACUGAGAAGCUGUAUGGGAAUUUAGAAGAUUGGUGGUCCAUCCCCUACACUGAACUGAUCAGCUGUAUCCCAGAUCAUUCUCAAUGCAAAUGCUGUUCUAAAACUGAAAGGGCAUAUGAGAAGAAAGUACAUAUGAAUAUAUUAUUGGAAACUAUACAAAAGAAUACAAAAAAGUAAACACUACAUUCAGAUUGAUAUGUUGGAGAAA
rnacentral:lncRNA from 12 species